GCUCCGCGUUCUCCAUUUUGGGCCACCCAUGGGGGGGGUCUCCGUAGAGGCCCCGAGGGAGAGUUGGGCGAGGGAAGGAAGAGAAAAUCUUCAGCGAGGGUAGUCGAAAAGAAGAGCUCUACGGUAGAAAGCCACUCUAGGAGUAGGAGUGUAGUGAACCUUUGACCGCCAAGAGUUCUUUACUCAGGGGAGAAAAACUCGGGAAGGGCCUAUCCCCUCAAAAGCUCCGCUUUUUCCUUGGACAGGAAGAAGUGACCUAUUACAACGUCUCCAUUGCUGUUGACAGAAGUUCGUAGAUUCAUAAAAUAAGUGUUUGCUUAAGAAGUCUUCGUUUGUGUUCCUUUUUUGAAAUUUUCGAUAAAAUAUUUAAUAUUAAAUUACAUUUCAAUUAGAAUGGAAUAAAACGUAUUCAUGACAAAUUUUCCAAAUGGGAAAUAGGCAAGUCCUGUGUAAAUAACGAAGCCUUCGCUCCGAUAUCACUUUUAACAUUCCUAAUGCAAAAUAACGAUUAUUUUCAGUCCUUAAAUUGUAUUCCUUCUGUAUCUCAUUAGUUUCUUUCUCUUCCUCUCUGCUUAUUGUUUUUUCUGCAACUUUACAAAAAGAGUUAUAGUAUAUUUAAUCAACUGGACAAUAAAAGUUAAACAGAAACGUCUAAAUGUCAAUAACAAGAAGUAAAAUCUGAGACGUUUUUACUUACCUCUAAAGCUUUGAGGAGUGGAAUACUAUUCAAAAUAAAUUUCCAUUUCUUUUAUAGA